rnacentral:rRNA from 1 species
AUGGAGAGACUUGUUAAUGUUCAUUACAUGGACAAGGAGGCAUUCUUGAGUAACAAUGCCGACACAGGUGAGGAACCAUUGGUUUUUGAUACAAGCCCUAGCUAUGAGGAUGUUGUUAGAAAAGUGAGACUAGCCUUAAAGUGGAUGGACAUCAAUGUUGAUGUUAAGUUAAUAGGAAGGUAUGAUGUUGGAGUUGGAGCCAAAUCUUGCUUGAAAAGUAUGCCUAUCACCUCGGAUUUGCAUUGGGAUGUAUACAAGGAAAAAGUUUCCCAAUCGGAAGACAAGUCACUUGAAUUGUUUGCCACCAAGGUUGAAUCUCCUCGGUUUACACUUGAAUUGAACCAGCAUGUCUCUUCCCCAAUGGAUAACAUGAGCGUUGAGUUGUAUGCCCCCGAUGCUUCUAGCCAACCACCAACUAGCCAA